rnacentral:rRNA from 1 species
UACAGAGGGUGCAAGCGUUGUUCGGAAUUAUUGGGCGUAAAGCGCGUGUAGGCGGCUUUGCAAGUCGGGUGUGAAAGCCCUCAGCUCAACUGAGGAAGUGCGCCCGAAACUGCAGAGCUUGAAUACCGGAGAGGAUGGCGGAAUUCCCCAAGUAGAGGUGAAAUUCGUAGAUAUAGGGAGGAACACCGGUGGUGUAGACGGCUCUCUGGACCGUAACUGACGCUGAGACACGAAAGCGUGGGUAGCAAACAGG